AGAUGCAUGUACCAGGCUGUGAUAUGAAACCUAUUUUUAUGACUGGUUGUGGCUCCUCUGAGCUGCUAUUGGGUUUGCCCUCCACCCCCUCUCACGCUGACUCUGGGCCCUUCAAAAUGAGUCAUAGAGAGUCAUUACCACUACCCCCGCCUCCAACCCGGACUCUGCUGUAUACCUCAUGGUUUCUGAUAAUACAGCAUUGUGAAGUCGGGGGAAGGCUGGCAGAGGGGCCCAGUCCAAUCUGUGACCUGAGCUACCAUGGCAGGGUCCAGGGCCAGAGGAAGGUGGUGUGAAUCCCCAGUAAUGCAGGUCCUUUCCAGGCCAGGCCCCUGGUCCCCAGGAGUGCGGGGCUGCCCGAGGUCUACUGCUGCCUUAUCCAGAGCUGCCGCUCCCAGCGAUGACUCAGAGUCCCUGUGGCCCCAGCAUCAUCCCUCCAUCCCUGGCUGUGAGGCAGGAGCAAAGUUGCAGACCUGAGAGGCCUUUAAUUUGUUUGAUAUAAGACUUUGCCGCCAAAGUGCUUUGCCUAUGAGGUCUGGCUUGGCCUGGCCUCUGAGAAAGAACAAACACAGUCCUCACUGGAAGGAACCUGGAGAACGGGAGAGGAGAGGCUGCUGCUGUCUGCCCUCCCAGCAGCAGACAUGAACAUGGAGCAGGAAGGAGCAUGGAGAAGACAAGAACAAGACUCUCAGAAGGAAGUGGUGUGGCUGGAGCCAUAAGAACUGGUCGUGGAGGAGGCAAAUACAAUUUCUGACUUACAUAACGACAUACUCACAAGAAGCCUCUCCUUGAAUGUAAUAAUUCAGCAAACAGUUAUGGAGUCCUUACAAUGUGCUCGUGGAACUUUGAAGAUGAAUCCAAAUUUGGAUCCCGGCCUGAAAAGGCUCAAAGUCUAAUAUGGGAAGUAAGAAAUGUAGAAUCCAUAUAACGACGGGGUCUCCCCGCCCCUUAAGAUCUAGUUAUGAGUAGCUGCAAUUUCUGUGAAUUCCAAGGUGGUUUUACCACCUCAAGUUCACAUUUAGAUCUGACUUCUGGCUUCUUUUAGGAAGUUCCCAUCUCUAAAUCUCAUCUCUGUUCCUUUAUUUCUGCCAGCCUGGAUCCAAAUGUGAAACUUAUCUUCUUUUAUUAACCAAUCAACCACCUCCUGCCAAAACAACAACAAGAACAACAACACAAAAAACAAAAACAAAAUAAAACAAAACUCGGCGUACACAAGACCUUUGUUUCUACAGCAGACUUGGCUAAAGGUUUGGGCAUGCAUACCCCCAAAAUUAAAAAAUGGAAAAUUGAA